CUGGCACCCAACCCAAGAACUAUUGCUGCCUAUAGCAGCAGUUUAAACAGUGGUGCACACAGCAAAGGGGCUUUGUUGCCUUUGGGGAACUGUGUGGUGCCUCCCAGAGUAAAUAAAGAAGUUCCACAGUC